GCGAAAGUGAGAACAAUACCCCAUGGGUCACUAUGCCUGGAACGGUUAGUGGCUGAAAGCUCCGGCGGCACAGGAUGGGUCUGCGGCGUAUCAGGUCGUAGGGGGUGUAACGUACCUCCUAGCCUUCGACGCGUACGGGUUGUGAGAGCAAUUGCCCGGAGAUGGAUUCUGAGACACGAAUCCAGGCCCUACGGGGCGCAGCAGGCGCGAAAACUUUGCAAUGUGCGAAAGCACGACAAGGUUAAUCCGAGUGAUUUCUGCUAAAGAAAUCUUUUGCCAGUCAUAAAACCACUGGUGAAUAAGGGGUGGGCAAGUUCUGGUGUCAGCCGCCGCGGUAAAACCAGCACCUCAAGUGGUCAGGAUGAUUAUUGGGCCUAAAGCAUCCGUAGCCGGCUUUGUAAGUUUUCGGUUAAAUCCAUGUGCUCAACGCAUGGGCUGCCGAAAAUACUGCAUAGCUAGGGAGUGGGAGAGGUAGACGGUACUCAGUAGGUAGGGGUAAAAUCCUUUGAUCUAUUGAUGACCACCUGUGGCGAAGGCGGUCUACCAGAACACGUUCGACGGUGAGGGAUGAAAGCUGGGGGAGCAAACCGGAUUAGAUACCCGGGUAGUCCCAGCUGUAAACGAUGCAGACUCGAUGAUGCAUUGGCAUAAUAGCCAGUGCAGUGUCGCAGGGAAGCCGUUAAGUCUGCCGCCUGGGAAGUACGUACGCAAGUAUGAAACUUAAAGGAAUUGGCGGGGGUGCACCACAAGGGGUGAAGCCUGCGGUUCAAU
rnacentral:rRNA from 1 species